GCAAAAUGAAGCUAGCAGGAAUUAGCCAUCAACUUCACCUCAAACCCCAAAAGAGACAUCUCCAACCUGAAAAAUCAUCGCAUCCUGUCAACGACGACCCUUCUCGCCUUUCUGUGAUUCAGCAGGAGUACCUGGAGAUGGAAGGUGUCUGUUUAGAUCAGUUGUGUACGGAGCCUGUCUCAGAUCUGGAGACCCAUCUCCAAGUCAAUCCAAGCAAAAACAACUCGCUGAUGAUCUC